AACCAGACUCCUACGGGAGGCAGCAGUGGGGAAUAUUGCACAAUGGGGGGAACCCUGAUGCAGCGACGCCGCGUGAGUGAAGAAGUAUUUCGGUAUGUAAAGCUCUAUCAGCAGGGAAGAAGUUGACGGUACCUGAGUAAGAAGCCCCGGCUAACUACGUGCCAGCAGCCGCGGUAAUACGUAGGGGGCAAGCGUUAUCCGGAUUUACUGGGUGUAAAGGGAGCGUAGACGGCAGUGCAAGUCUGAAGUGAAAGCCCCGGGCUUAACCCGGGAACUGCUUUGGAAACUGUACGGCUGGAGUGCUGGAGAGGUAAGCGGAAUUCCUAGUGUAGCGGUGAAAUGCGUAGAUAUUAGGAGGAACACCAGUGGCGAAGGCGGCUUACUGGACAGUAACUGACGUUGAGGCUCGAAAGCGUGGGGAGCAAACAGGAUUAGAUACCCUAGUAAAG
rnacentral:rRNA from 1 species